UACGGAGGGGGCUAGCGUUGUUCGGAAUUACUGGGCGGAAAGCGCACGUAGGCGGUUUGGUAAGUUGGGGGUGAAGUCCCGGGGCUCAACCCCGGAACUGCCUUCAAAACUCCCAGUCUGGAGGUCGAGAGAGGUGAGUGGAAUUCCGAGUGUAGAGGUGAAAUUCGUAGAUAUUCGGAGGAACACCAGUGGCGAAGGCGGCUCACUGGCUCGAUACUGACGCUGAGGUGCGAAAGCGUGGGGAGCAAACAGG
rnacentral:rRNA from 1 species